rnacentral:rRNA from 1 species
AACGAACGCUGGCGGCAUGCCUAACACAUGCAAGUCGAACGAGACCUUCGGGUCUAGUGGCGCACGGGUGCGUAAGGCGGGGGAACCUGCCCUUAGGUUCGGAAUAACUCCCCGAAGGGGGUGCUAAUACCGGAUAAUGUCUUCGGACCAAAGAUUUAUCGCCUUUGGGUGGGCCCGCGUUGGAUUAGCUGGUUGGUAGGGGAAAAGCCUAGCAAGGCGACGAUCCAUAGCUGGUCGGAGAGGAUGAUCAGCCACACUGGGACUGAGACACGGCCCAGAAUCCUACGCGAGGCAGCAGUGGGGAAUAUUGGACAAUGGGCGAAAGCCUGAUACAGCAAUGCCGCGUGAGUGAUGAAGGCCUUAGGGUUGUAAAGCUCUUUUACCCGGGAUGAUAAUGACAGUACCGGGAGAAUAAGCACCGGCUAACUCCGUG